rnacentral:lncRNA from 1 species
CUAACUUACUGGGAAUGCAGACCAGCAGGUCUCAGCCUUAUUUUACCCAGCCCCCAUUCACCAUGGAGUUGCUCUGGUUCACAUGCCACUGACGAGGUGGUCAGGGAAGGCAAUUCCUGGAAAGAAUUUUGGAGAAAAUAAUAGAAGAAAGCCAGAGCUCCAAUAAUUUACCCUCAUCUCGUGAAGAAGGCAGGGCUGAGACCCGAAAGCCCACACAGGGAAAACGACAUGCCUAAAAUUUUCUGCCUGUUGCGGACAGAUCAAAGAUUAGAACCCAAGCCGAAGAGGCCUCCAAGCCAAAGGAGGAUUUGUAAAUUCAUUCUUCCAGCUGCAUGGGAAGAGCAGGAAAGUCUAGAUUUGGGGCUUUGAGUUUCAGACCAGACCUCCUGCCUGAGUGUAACAUCUUUCAAUAAUUAUCAGUAUUAACAGUCAUAAUAAUAAUAGAAGCUACUAUUCAUGAA